rnacentral:lncRNA from 10 species
GGAACAGAAGCUCCAUGGGGGAGGGACUGGUCCAUCUUGUUCACCCUGGCGGCUCCAUGCCUUCCUUCUCCAGUGUCUAACAGGCUCACAAUGCAGUGACUAUUGUGGAAUGAACAAGUGAGUUUGGGUGGCCCCAGGGCUGCGGUGCUGAUGUCACUAGAGUGUGGUGGGAAGCUAUCACUCACCUCGCAGGUGGGAGAGGUGAUGUUGGGGGAUGUGGCUCCUUUGAAAUAUCCGCCUGUUCUGGUCGGCCGGUGCGGUGGCUCACACCUGUGAUCCCAGCACUUUGGGAAGCCGAGGUGGGUGGAUCAUGAGGUCAGAAGAUCGAGACCAUCCUGGCCAACGUGGUGAAACCCCGUCUCUACUAAAAAUACAAAAAUUAGCCGGGCGUGGUGGCACACACCUGUAAUCCCAGCUACUCAGGAGGCUGAAGCAGGAGAAUCACUUGAACCUGGGAGGCGGAGGUUGCUGUGAGCCGAGAUUGCGCCACUGCAUUCCAGGCUGGGCGACAGAGCGAGACUCAAUCUCAAAAAAAUUGUGCCUGUUCUUUCCUCUGGAGACGGGUAGAGCAGCCUCACAGGGUACGGCCAGGAGGGAGGCACCCCGUGGAAGAGGCAUCUCAGGCACGGUCUCGGGAAGGAUCGUGGUUGUGCCAGAAGGAUUGUUUCCUCCAGCCUACUCCUGAACCUGGAAACCAGCAGCUGCUCUCUCAAUCAAGGAGAAAGAAAGUAGAGGCCGCACCUUCCUUACGUGGUGCUCAUGGAUUCAGGGAAGAAACCCAAAUCAUGACAUGAAGCACAUCCAGUACUUCCUAAAAGAGCAGAUGGGACCAUAGCAAGAAUCUCUUUGCUGCCCGACACAUGAGAAGCGGCCUGCCCAGCUGGCACUUGCUCUCCUACAACCAGCCUCAACAAGGCAUCGAGCUGCCUGCACCAGUGACAGCAAAGCAGCACCUGCCUGUCUGCAGCUCAGGGAUUUUCUCUCGCCCUCAGUCGUACAGCCUUAGCCUUCCAGAAAAAUGGAUCUGUGGCAGUCAUGGUUCCUGGACUUCUAGAAAUGACUAUAUUCCAGGAGAUGCAGAAAUGCUACUGAACAUGGAUGUGCAGCACCACAGAAAACCUAUGUGGGAUCCUGAUCACCAGUGGAAGCCCGGCUCCUUAGAGAGCUAAGAUGGAACAAAGAAAAUUCCCAGGCCCGGGAACCACCAGAGGUACUACCUUAUUUGCUCAAAAGGUAGGUUAUGCCCAUAAGGGGCAGACCACGCAUGGCUCUACCUCUCUCUCUCUCUCUACACACACACACACUCUCUCUCUCUCUCUCUCUCUCCUGCUUUUAUUGUGCCAUUUUGGAUCUGUAGGAACUUGGGCUUGAAGAGCUACAUGAUCUGAAAUUCAGCAUGUAUCAGCUAGUAGGUUUAGGUUAUGUCCCGAGAGGGAUGUGCCUCCAGGUGGCUGUGACCUCACUUUCACAGUUCAUGCAGAGGAAAGUCAUCCUUGUGGUCCUGGGAGAGCUGGUCUGUUGCUGCCCAGGUUUGCCUGCACUGCCAGCAUGGCUCUCACAGCCCCCCAAAUUGUUUUCCUCUGAAAGGUUCAAAUCUUGACUCUGAAACAGACCUCAUAAUGAAACACCUAUGGGAAAAGUCUAUUCUCUGGCCUCUUUCCUGAGCUCAAUAAUGUUUAAUUUUUAAAAGCGGGGGAGGGAGGGAGGGAAAGAAGAAGUCUCUGAUAUUUCUCCAGUGCACUUGGCUCUCAUAGAUGGCCUUGGCCAAAACUCACCACCAGCGAUUGUGCCAGAACACCUGGUUUGAAUUCUGGCUGCCAUGCUGCUUCAUUUAAUGAGAUGGUCCCAACUUACUUUACUAUUUAAAAAGAAUUUGAGGCCAGAUGCAGUGGCUCAUGCUUUUAAUCUCAGCACUUUAGGAGGCCGAGGUGGGCUGAUCAUGAGGUC